GUGUAAUGUUGUUAACUCGCUGAUGUCGUUUUUGAGAAGACGGUAGUUUUGCAUUUGAUAAAUACCACCUAAUGACCAUGACGGCUACACGGCAGAUCUUUAUUGUGAUGGCUACACUGAAUGAUCACAUGGAGAUGCCGGUACAUUAUUUGUUUUACCCUGGUUAUAUUGAAAUGUUCUGCUUUGUCCAUUCCAAGGUGUGGUGUUUUCCAUUGCUGUUCCUUGCUCCUGUAUCACAACAUAUCAAGGCUGUCAAGUAAAUGAAGAAUGAAUCACCGCACACUGGUCAACAGCAGACAGGGUCCUUCCACAACCACAUACUUAUGCCAGUAAAAGCCACAGCUUUUCUCCUCCAAUCCAAGAAGCCUGGACUGCAGUCACCAUCUCAACACACCAACCAAGAGAAAGGCGGAUGGCUCAAUUCAGUAUGUAGUUCUGCAAAUAUUCUCAAAGGUCUUCACAGCCCCCCAUGGUGCUGAAUGCAUUUACAUUUAUUUGUGUAAGGUAAAAACAAUGCUGAUUACAGAACAUAACUAGGGCCAUGAAUGAAAUUUGAGGUAGCAGCCAGCCAUCACCUGAUGGUGAGAGGUGGUCCUAAGAUCAGAGAGAAGCAGGUUGAAAUCCCAUCCUUACCUCUCCCUACCUACACCUCCAUCCACAGCUGAAGUGCACUUGAGCAAGGCACACAAGUCCACUUAGGUCCUGGGACUGUAGUCAACACCCUGUAAAACCCUGCUGUGUAAUUUGAUGUAAUGAAGCCCUAAUAUAGUCUAACACAUUGCUUGUUACAGAUAUGGAAAAUUGCACAAUAAAAGUUCCAGGACAUGAAGGCUGCAUACUGUGAACGUCAACCUUCAGGGCACCGUCCUGCGCAGAAGACUUUCUACCCUAAGAGGGAUGGCUGACCGCAGACACUCACAACCAGCACAGACGCCUCCAACCUCAGACUAGGCCCUUCACAGUUGCUGCUUUUACCCACCUUCCCAGAGUUUUUGUGUGGUAAUGACAACUG